CAGCAGUCGCCGCGGUAAUACAGAGGGUGCGAGCGUUAAUCGGAUUUACUGGGCGUAAAGCGUGCGUAGGCGGCUUCUUAAGUCGGAUGUGAAAUCCCUGAGCUUAACUUAGGAAUUGCAUUCGAUACUGGGAAGCUAGAGUAUGGGAGAGGAUGGUAGAAUUCCAGGUGUAGCGGUGAAAUGCGUAGAGAUCUGGAGGAAUACCGAUGGCGAAGGCAGCCAUCUGGCCUAAUACUGACGCUGAGGUACGAAAGCAUGGGGAGCAAACAGGAUUAGAUACCCCGGUAGUCCCUGUCUCUUAUAC
rnacentral:rRNA from 1 species